GUGUAUGGAAGGACUGUAAGGUGUACAUGUCCAACUGGCAGGUGUCAUCUGACCUUGACCUCAUUUUCAUGGUUCAGUGGUUAUAGUUAAGUUUUUGUGUUUUGGUCUGUUUUUCUCAUAUUAUAUGCAAUAGGUCUACUAUAUUUGUUGUAUGGAAUGAUUGUAAGGUGUACAUGUCUAGCGGGCAGAUGUCAUGUGACCUUGACCUCAUUUUCAUGGUUCAGUGGUCAAAUGUUAAGUUUUUGAGUUUUGGUCUUUUUAUCUAAUACUAUAUGCUAUAGGUCAACUAUAUUUGGUGUAUGGAAAUAUUUUAUGAUCUUUAUGUGAGUCGCGC
rnacentral:lncRNA from 1 species